rnacentral:rRNA from 1 species
GACAGAGGAUGCAAGCGUUAUCCGGAAUGAUUGGGCGUAAAGCGUCUGUAGGUGGCUUUUUAAGUCUGCCGUCAAAUCCCAGGGCUUAACCCUGGACAGGCGGUGGAAACUACCAAGCUGGAGUACGGUAGGGGCAGAGGGAAUUUCCGGUGGAGCGGUGAAAUGCGUAGAUAUCGGGAAGAACACCCGUGGCGAAGGCGGCUCUCUGGGACGGUACUGACGCUGAGACGCGAAAGCGUGGGGAGCGAACAGG